AAUAAACCAAUUUUUUAUUUUUUAUCUUUAAUUUUUGACUCUUCGUCUUAUUCAAAUAUUUUUUGCGAUUGAUAUUUUUGUUUUUAUUAGAUGAUAAAUUAUAAAUAGUAUUUUACGUCUGACUAAUUUUUUUCUAAUUUUCUAAAAAAAUUUCAAACAAAACGAAUGGUCAAACGUUGGACACGGGAAUCGAAGAAUUCGUUUUUU
rnacentral:pre_miRNA from 1 species